rnacentral:tRNA from 1 species
GGGGAUUUAGCUUAGUGGUAGAGCGCUUGCCUAGGAAGCGCAAGGCCCUGGGUUCCAUCCCCAGCUCCG